GAGGGUAUAGCUCGGUGGUAGAGUGUGUGCUUAGCAUGCACAAGGUCCUGGGUUCAAUCCUCAAUACCUCCA
rnacentral:tRNA from 1 species